rnacentral:rRNA from 1 species
UGUAUAUCAAUAAGCGGAGGAAAAGAAACCAACAGGGAUUGCCUCAGUAACGGCGAGUGAAGCGGCAAAAGCUCAAAUUUGAAAUCCUUCGGGAGUUGUAAUUUGUAGGUUGGGAGACCCCGCGGCUAGUGGCACCAAGUCCCUUGGAACAGGGCGCCUUAGAGGGUGAGAGCCCCGUAGGUACCACAAUACCGUCUUGUGUCUCCUCUCCAAAGAGUCGAGUUGUUUGGGAAUGCAGCUCAAAGUGGGUGGUAAAUUCCAUCUAAAGCUAAAUACCGGCGAGAGACCGAUAGCGAACAAGUACAGUGAUGGAAAGAUGAAAAGCACUUUGAAAAGAGAGUGAAACAGUACGUGAAAUUGUUGAAAGGGAAGGGCUUGCAAGCAGACACGGCCUUCGUGCCGGGCCAGCAUCGGUUGCUAGGGGUGGAUAAGGAACAAGGAAUGUAGCUCCUCGGAGUAUUAUAGCCUUGCGCGAUACACCCACUGGCGACCGAGGCCUGCGGUAUA